UACGUAGGGGGCAAGCGUUGUCCGGAUUUAUUGGGCGUAAAGAGCGUGUAGGCGGCUUGGAAGGUCAGCUGUGAAAACUCGAGGCUCAACCUCGAGACGUCGGUUGAAACCACCUGGCUAGAGUCCGGAAGAGGAGAGUGGAAUUCCCGGUGUAGCGGUGAAAUGCGCAGAUAUCGGGAAGAACACCCGUGGCGAAGGCGGCUCUCUGGGACGGUACUGACGCUGAGACGCGAAAGCCAGGGGAGCAAACGGG
rnacentral:rRNA from 1 species